UGGGCUUACCGCACCUGUUUGUCUGCGUU
rnacentral:piRNA from 1 species